GAUGAACGCUGGCGGCGUGCCUAAUACAUGCAAGUCGAGCGAACGGACGAGAAGCUUGCUUCUCUGAUGUUAGCGGCGGACGGGUGAGUAACACGUGGAUAACCUACCUAUAAGACUGGGAUAACUUCGGGAAACCGGAGCUAAUACCGGAUAAUAUUUUGAACCGCAUGGUUCAAAAGUGAAAGACGGUCUUGCUGUCACUUAUAGAUGGAUCCGCGCUGCAUUAGCUAGUUGGUAAGGUAACGGCUUACCAAGGCAACGAUGCAUAGCCGACCUGAGAGGGUGAUCGGCCACACUGGAACUGAGACACAGUCCAGACUCCUACGGGAGGCAGCAGUAGGGAAUCUUCCGCAAUGGACGAAAGCCUGACGGAGCAACGCCGCGUGAGUGAUGAAGGUCUUCGGAUCGUAAAACUCUGUUAUUAGGGAAGAACAUAUGUGUAAGUAACUGUGCACAUCUUGACGGUACCUAAUCAGAAAGCCACGGCUAACUACGUG
rnacentral:rRNA from 1 species